rnacentral:rRNA from 1 species
GAGUUUGAUCCUGGCUCAGGAUGAACGCUAGCGGUAGGCCUAACACAUGCAAGUCGAACGGUAACAGCGGAGCUUGCUCCGGCUGACGAGUGGCGAACGGGUGCGUAACACGUAUGUAACUUGCCUCUAACAGGGGAAUAGCCCCGAGAAAUCGGGAUUAAUACCCCAUAGUAUCAUUUUUUCGCAUGAUUAGAUGAUUAAAACUCCGGUGGUUAGAGAUAGGCAUGCGGCCCAUUAGUUUGUUGGUGAGGUAACGGCUCACCAAGACUACGAUGGGUAGGGGGUCUGAGAGGAUGAUCCCCCACACUGGUACUGAGACACGGACCAGACUCCUACGGGAGGCAGCAGUGAGGAAUAUUGCGCAAUGGACGAAAGUCUGACGCAGCCAUACCGCGUGCAGGAAGACGGCCCUACGGGUUGUAAACUGCUUUUGUUUGCCAAGAAACCCACCUACGUGUAGGUGGCUGACGGUAGCAUUCGAAUAAGCACCGGCUAACUCCGUGCCAGCAGCCGCGGUAAUACGGAGGGUGCAAGCGUUAUCCGG